GGAGGGGGUGGCGAUGAGGCUCGCCGCAACCGCACGACCGGAGCACCGACCGUGCUGAUGGCCUCUCCCUGACG
rnacentral:ncRNA from 1 species